AGUAGUUUGAUCAGUGGCUCGAGGACGACGCUGGCGGCGUGCUUAACACAUGCAAGUCGAACGGAAAGGCCCUGCUUUUGUGGGGUGCUCGAGUGGCGAACGGGUGAGUAACACGUGAGUAACCUGCCCUUGACUUUGGGAUAACUUCAGGAAACUGGGGCUAAUACCGGAUAGGAGCUCCUGCUGCAUGGUGGGGGUUGGAAAGUUUCGGCGGUUGGGGAUGGACUCGCGGCUUAUCAGCUUGUUGGUGGGGUAGUGGCUUACCAAGGCUUUGACGGGUAGCCGGCCUGAGAGGGUGACCGGCCACAUUGGGACUGAGAUACGGCCCAGACUCCUACGGGAGGCAGCAGUGGGGAAUAUUGCACAAUGGCGGAAGCCUGAUGCAGCAACGCCGCGUGCGGGAUGACGGCCUUCGGGUUGUAAACCGCUUUCGCCUGUGACGAAGCGUGAGUGACGGUAAUGGGUAAAGAAGCACCGGCUAACUACGUG
rnacentral:rRNA from 1 species